GACGUAGGGGGCAAGCGUUGUCCGGAAUCAUUGGGCGUAAAGCGCGUGUAGGCGGCUGGCUAAGUCCGCUCUGAAAGCCCGGGGCUCAACCCCGGGAGGCGGGUGGAUACUGGUCAGCUCGAGUCCGGAAGAGGAGUGUGGAAUUCCUGGUGUAGCGGUGAAAUGCGCAGAUAUCAGGAGGAACACCAAUGGCGAAGGCAGCACUCUGGGACGGUACUGACGCUGAGACGCGAAAGCGUGGGGAGCAAACAGG
rnacentral:rRNA from 1 species